rnacentral:lncRNA from 1 species
UGAGGGUAAGUUGACAUAUAUAGAACUACGUUAAAUGACAUGUGCAUGUGGACAUAUAUAUAUAUAUAGAUCGAGUGGCAUUGAACCUAGUGUCAAGGACAUAGGUUGAGUAAGAGUAAUAUUGAACCUAGUGUUAAUAAACAUAGGUUGAACAAGUGUGGCAUCGAACCUAGUGUUAAUAAACAUAGGUUGAACAAGUGUGGCAUCGAACCUAGUGUUAAUAAACAUAGAUUGAACAAGUGUGGCAUCGAACCUAGUGUUAAUAAACAUAGGUCGUACAAGAGUGGCAUCAAACCUAAUGUUAGAGAACAUAGGUUGAGAUUAAACCUAGAGUUAAGUCAACCUAGGUUGUGAGAUAAAGAUAGUGAACCUAGAGUUAAAGUAACCUAGGUUAUGUGAUAAAA